UUUCGCUCUUUCAUUGAAGAUGGUAUACGCCGUAGCAAUAGUAGCAAUUGCGUUAAGUGUCCAACUUGGUAUCUGUGGCUUUUUACCGCAAUUCGAAUGUGGCGAACGUAUACUGUCAGAGUUACCGAUAGAUUUCGAGAAAAUAGACCAAUGCCCGGACAAUUCCUUUAAGCUAGACUAUCUUAUGUUGUUACUAAGUAAAACGGUUGCUUAUGAGAACUUGCAUUGGUUUUUGGAAGCAAUAAGCAAUCCCGUCAAAGUAGGUAUACCAGCCGAACAUUACAAUUGCUACUGGGAUGCGCUAUCAGAAAUACAAGAACGUUUAUUCGAGCUAUUUGUUGCUCGCUUAGAAUGUGAGAACUUAUAACAUAAAAACAUGUUUACAAUAUUCUUGAAGCAAAAUAUAUAAGUAUUAUAAUCGAUUAUGCUUUUGGAAAAUAAAGUAAGUUUAUUAAAGAACA